CUUGACCAAGGGCAUCCCUGCCAGAGCGUCACC
rnacentral:rRNA from 1 species